GGGGGAUAUAUUUUUAAUUAGCUUAGUGUCAUUACAAUAGCAUUGUGUUUGGAGAAUUCAUUGAUCUUGGGAUUUCUUGGUACAAGAUUGGCUAUCUUUUGUUGUAUGCCAACCACAUCAUCAAGUGGAGUUGCACUCACACAAGUAUGCAUUUUCACUUCUUCUCAUUGAUCUCCCUUCCUUUUGUUUUGACUGUAAAUAUAUCUCCUGUAAUA
rnacentral:misc_RNA from 1 species